UUGAGCAUACUUAAGUGGCGGACGGGUGAGUAACGCGUGAGGAUCUGUCCUAUACAGGGGGACAACAGAUGGAAACGUCUGCUAAUACCGCAUAAGCCUAAGGGUAAAAGGAGAGAUUCGGUAUAGGAGGAACUCGCGUCCUAUCAGCUAGUAGGUGAGGUAACGGCUCACCUAGGCGAAGACGGGUAGCCGGCCUGAGAGGGCGAACGGCCACACUGGAACUGAGAUACGGUCCAGACUCCUACGGGAGGCAGCAGUGGGGAAUAUUGGGCAAUGGGGGAAACCCUGACCCAGCGACGUCGCGUGAGUGAAGAAAUCCCUCGGGAUGUAAAGCUCUGUUGUACGGGAAGAGAAGCAGACGGUACCGUACGAGGAAGCCCCGGCAAACUACGUGCCAGCAGCCGCGGUAAUACGUAGGGGGCAAGCGUUGUCCGGAAUUACUGGGCGUAAAGCGCACGCAGGCGGCCCAUCAAGUCGGUUGUAAAAGGCAGUGGCUCAACUACUGUAAGACGGCCGAUACUGAUGAGCUAGAGUAUGUGAGAGGGAAGCGGAAUUCCCGGUGUAGCGGUGAAAUGCGUAGAUAUUCGGGGAGGGAAACAACCCAAAGUUGGCCGAAAGGCGGCUUCCUGGCACAAGACUGACGCUCAUGUGCGAAAGCUAGGGUAGCGAACGGGAUUAGAUACCCCGGUAGUCCUAGCCGUAAACGAUGGAUACUGGGUGUGGGUGCCGCAGGGCAUCUGU
rnacentral:rRNA from 1 species